rnacentral:rRNA from 1 species
GAUCGGGAUAACACCUGGAAACAGAUGCUAAUACCGGAUAACAACAGAUGAUGCCUAUCAACUGUUUAAAAGAUGGUUCUGCUAUCACUCUUGGAUGGACCUGCGGUGCAUUAGCUAGUUGGUAGGGUAACGGCCUACCAAGGCGAUGAUGCAUAGCCGAGUUGAGAGACUGAUCGGCCACAUUGGGACUGAGACACGGCCCAAACUCCUACGGGAGGCAGCAGUG